UAAGUACAAUAAAAGCCAGAGUCGAAGUUAGUCGCGAUUCGACAGUGAAGAGAAGCAGUUCUGUAUUGAUCGUUAUACGUUUCAUUAUUCAUUUUUUGUAUUAAUUCCAUCCUAAUAAAAGUCUAACAAAUUAUCUGCAUUAUGAUGCCAAACAAGAAGAUAGAUUCGUGGUUGGAAUGCAAAAAAAUUUUACGACCAUAUAAAUCGCUAUAUAAUAUAUAUAGAUAGCAUAAAUAUAGUUGGAACAUGUAAUCACUACUAGAGUUGUUAAAAUAACGCAAUGUUAAUUGUGUCGUAUAUUGAUAGUCCGAUAAUCGUAAAAAGAGCAUCGAUAUUCGAGAAAUGCGAUUAAACAUUUAUAAAUACGAGUAAUAAAGAGUGUAAUGAAAUAACAUUCGAAAAAUUCUUGGACACACCAAGGAGAAAGAAAAGUAAACAAAUAGAUCUACGAGCGACCAACAGAAACGUGAAUAACAUUAGAGGACAAAGCAAUCGAUACGAAAGUAGUAUGAUGUACUGACAAAACCUGAAAGAGAGCAGAGAAGUAUGGCUGAAAUCGAGCAAAGUUGCUCUGGCAUAAUUAUUUCCAACAACACACGGACAGGCUACGUGCGUGGAAAGUUUGAACUAAAAUUUCGCAAUCAGAAAAAAGUGUUUUAUCAUCCAAAAUAAGGACGUAUGAGAGAUCUGGAAGAAUGUUCUUACCGCCGUCAAAAUGUGGAGGCAGAACAUCGAGAAAAAUCUAAUAACGAGAUUUUUAGUAUCAUAAAGCGAACAAUAGAUCUGUGUGGUCUGUUUACAAACCAUUAACUGAUUCAUAUAUUCGGGAGCAAAUUCGAUGUUCAAUAAUUAAUUCUGCAUUAAUAAUCUAAAUCUAUAGUGAAUUGCAAGAGUCAGAGGCAAUUUGAAAUAAUCCAACUCCUCAAUUUUAAAACCAUACAUUAUUAAUAAAAGCAAGAAAAUAUUGCUAUUAGUUGCUAUUACACUAAUCACACUAUUGUCUUCUGGUUUCCGUUACAGACACGAAUCUUCAAAAGUUCAUUUCCUUAUGCUUCUCGAAUCCUUCGAUUCAUGACAUAAACUCUUUCAUUCUAUUUUAAAACGUCGCUCUUCGCCAUCUCUCGCACUUUUGUAAGAGUAUAAAAUCAAAGGUAAAUCUGCACAACUCUGUAAUUUCCUAAUCUAAGAGUCCAUCUCGAUAUACAUUGCGUAGACAUCGCGACCAAAUUAUGCUAUUUUAAUGGCUGUGUUUUUCAUUAUAAAUAGACUUCAAUAAGUCUUUGACAUGGAACAUGACACAAGUAUAACUGCAGCUCAGUUUUUGGAAUGCUCAAUAGUUGAAUUGUCAUGUUCUGUUUCUCGAGAGAUGCGACAUUGAGGAUUCGUGAUAUUUACAGAAGAGUUCGUUGAAUUAACAAAAUAUUUUUACAUUUUUGAAAUUUAAAACAUGUUGAAAGCACAACUUUUAAAGAUAAGAACAGAGUCGUAAAAGAUAUAUAAAAAAAUGUAUAUUUUACGCUAAUAAAUUUAAUUUUCAUGAUUUGUGCAUUACUGUGCAAAAAAUAUAAAAUAAUGAUUAGUCUUUAUUAUUUCCUACUCAUUCUCAUCCAUGCGAGUAUGCAUGCAUUCGUAUGAGAAAUUAAUAAACGAAUCUAGAAAAUCAACGAUCAAUUGACGAGGUAAUAUCAUUAAUAUUAAUAGAAAGUUUUAGUCUACGUCUUUAUAAUUUUUCUCAAACUAUUUUUUUUAUACUAUCUCGAAAAACUUUCGCAUAAUUACUUCUUAUGCUACAACUGAUAGUUUAGGCUAUUUGAUUUGCGUGAACAUUAAAUCGAUGUACAAUUAACGAGAAAAUAGCAGCGCGUGCGAAAGGAGAUAAUUGUGGAACUGAUAACACUAAUGAGAUGUAUACGAAUAGUGCAAGGCUAAUGUACAUCUUAUCGAUAAAGCAAUCUCGGUUUAAUAGUUAACCUUGAAAAAAAAAUUCGUUUCCUAAUCUGCAACAUUUCUUUAUUUUAGAACGUUCAAGUUUUUAUUUAAUUUGUUCACUCUCUCCGAUCCAACAAUUGGCAAAAUUCUUAUUUUACACUUCGUAUCAUCAAACAUCACACAUGAUGAGGCAAUGCAAAUGCUUGAUAUAUUAUUUUUAAAAAAAGUACAAAAUAUUUUAUAAGCAUUACCAAUUUAUUAUGUCUGUCGAGGAAGUAUACCAGUACAACAAUAAGUAUGAUAUGGGUUGGAGAAUACAUCAUAACACGCGUCCUAAUGAAUAAACAAGAUGUAGAUUCUUGUUGAAUAUACUUUUUUUAUAAUUUUCUCAUUUCUAUAUAUAUUAAUCGAAUUAUGCUGGAAAAUACGAACCCCGCGAGUAGCGAUAAAACGAAUAUACUGUCUAGCAUUUAGGAUAAAGUCAGUCGUGACUAGGCAUUUGAUACAGGCACACUAAACUAUUAAUCGUUAUACCUUCCAUUAUAUUCCAAGGAUCUUUUAUAUUUUAAGAAAAGUUUAACAAAUUAUCAGAAGUGGAAUAUUACAUAAGAAAACGAACGUGUGUUUGAAACGGAUGCAAAUUCAGCAAAACUCAUUAUAUUACAUAUAUGAGUAUAGUGUGCAAGAAAAUGAUUGGAAUGGUAAAAUCAUUUCGCCGGUUAUUAGUACAUCGUAUUGUUAAUAGUAUGGUGUAUUGACAUUCGGAAAGCCGUAAAAAGCGUAUAGAUAUUGGUAAAAUACUGGUUAAAUAAUUGUAAAUAAGAGAAGUGAACGAUGUGGAAGAAACUUUUUGACAACAGGAACACGCCAAGGAAUAAACAAAGUAAGCAAAUGAAAUCUAUGAACAAACAAAUGUCAAUAACAUUAGAGGACACGAAUCAAUAGGCAGUGUGUCAAAAAAUAGCGACAAAGCUAUAAGUAUACCGAACAAAGGAAGGGAACAACACUUCAAAACACAAAAAAUUAUGGAAAGUACAGUAAAUUCUGGAAAUUCUAGAUAAUAAAAGAUUAUCGACAUUCCACUGAAAUAAAGCAAAUCACGAGGAACAGGAAAUAAUACAGCAACUGAGGAAAGCCAACAUCAUGGAAAAAAGUGAAUCUCCAUUAUCACUAUCUUUUAAAGUGGUCAAGAAAGAAAUUCAUGUGAACGACUUUCGAUUAUCGAGUAAUUAAUAAUAUCAUACAUUGUUAGACUAUCUACUUUGUUAAUAACCGUUAAUCGAACGUGCAUGUCCCUAUUGCUACCAUUUAAAUCAUAAAUAUUUGACAUGCAAUUUAACAAAAUAUGGUGUAGUAUGUCAAACUGUUCGUAUAUUCUCGAUAUUACCAUAUUAGUCAUUGCAUGUUUUUUGUCCUUAUAUUUAUAAAACUGAUCGAAUUCUCAUUGAUUUCAACGUGACAUAAAUUUUUGUAGAAUUCUUAAAUUAUUUCGGGAAGCAAAUAUUCAAAUUGCUAUAGCUUCUUAUGACCUUUAGCUAGACGAUAUACUCUGGUAUUAUACAUUAAAAAUUUUCAUUUGGUUCGUCUUCGUCUCUUUUCACAAGUAUUGUGAAAAUUCAAUAUUUUAUCACUAAUUCGCAGCGUAGCAGCGAACCAUGUCGGCACUAAUACUUGUUUUUAACACAGAUAGACAAACCAAUGUAGUUUCAAUUUAACUCUGAGCGUGAUUAUCAUUGAUCCUUCAUCAAUGAAACUUUCAUUAUCCUUCUACUAAUCUAUAUCAUAGUUGAAUUCAUUGAAUCGUUAAAUUCAAUGAACCAAAGGCCUACUCGUAGAUUCAUAUUUCUUUUUUAUGUAAACAGUUCAAGCGAAUUACAGACAGGUUUAAUCAUAAUAUAAAAAUCGAUAUAGCUGACAUGAAAAUGUUUCGUCCUUCAACCAAUUGCCAAUGCCUUCAAUUCAUAUAAGCGAUAAUUUGACUCUCCUUGGUUGUUUUCUUGUUAAUCUAUUAAAUUAAGAGCAAACAACUGUCAACAUCUUCUCGCAACGACGCCCUUCCUAUUCAAUUUCUACAUAUAUCUGAUUGUAUUUCAGUAUCUGUCAAAAAGUUACAGAUUUUCUAUGGUACAUAAUUUUUCAGAAUCGGAUAAAUGACCCCACGUAUAUUGAAAUAUUUUCUUCUGUGCUUUGUCUCAAUGAUAUUUAAUUUUUUUCUUUUCUAAUUCGUUUGAAGUUAAAGACAGUAAAGUAUUUUAUGAAUCAUUGAAAAGAGUUAGCUAGAUCAAUGACAGUACGAAUUGAUUUCGUAUCCCCAAAUAAUGGUUAAACUCUUAAAUAAUUAAACUUUCAUUCUCAUAGAGCCCUCUGCACUGAUUUCAAGUCCUAUCUUUGUUCUCAACUAGUCAUUCAAACUGCAUCAUUCUCAAUUGUAAGAUAUGCCUUUUAGUUGUUUAAGCUUCAUUGUAAUAUCGCACCUUAAUGUUGUCAGCAUUUUUUAAUUUACCGGGAUGAAUUUGUGGUAAGAGCUGAUAUUUUGAAAUCAACUCUUGUAAUGCAAUUACUGGAUUAUUACUUACUGAAGUAUUUCCUUGGGAGUAAAACGGACAGCUUAACGGAUAGUUUAAAAAAAACAUUUUUGUACUUUCAUUUUUCGAAGAAUGGAUCAAGCAUUCGCUUUACUCCGAAUCAUAGGUGACGUUCUGUUAUCCAUUAAUUAAGAAUCCUUGACAAUUCCCAUUUCAUAAAUGGUGUAUGCGUAAUGAAUUAUUGUUUUAUUAAGAAUUAAUUUAACAUGAUAUGAAAAAUUUGUUUAUUAUUACUUCUGCUAUUUCUCAUCAUUAAUGAUGUUAUUACUUUAAUUUCGAUAUGUAUUAAAGUUAUAUUUUCUGCAACAGCCAAUAAUGUCGCUUGUUGACACUCAAUUUAAUUUGGUUACACUUAUGUAUUUAAAAAGUUGUGUUUAGGAGUUUUUUAAAUCGUUUGAAAUUGAAAUUUAGGAAAUAGAAUAUGUCUCUACUUGACCGAGUUUCAAACUCAGGCCAUCUGGAUUCAUAGAAAAGCACAUUACCCUUCGAGUUAUCCGCAUGCAUGCUUACCGUAACAUAGUUGAUCAUCUUGUCCCUUCUCUCCGGUUUCGUCUUCGAAUAAAUUCGAUGUCCAAUUGCAAAUUCUACAUUAAUAAUCGAAACGUAGAAUGACUUACAAAACAACCACAGGCAAUUUGAAAUAAUCCAUUUCUUCGAUUGUAAAGCCAAAUAUUGUUAAUAAAACCGAGAAAAUAUUUACACCAAUAAUCUUAUUUUCUGGCUUUCGUUACUGGCACGAGUCUCGAGAAGUUCAUUUCCUCGCGAUGCAUUUCUCCUUAAAUUCUUUGGUUCAUAACACGAACUCUUUCAUUCCAUUUCAAAUCGUCGCUCGUUGUUAUCACGCGCAUUUUUGUAAGGAUACAAAAUCAAAGAUAAGUUUUUACAACUCUAUAAUUCGCCGAAUUAAGGUUCCAUCGCAAUAUACAUAUCCAUAGUAAUAUACGUUAUGUAGACACGUUGGUUAAAAUUUAUCACUUUAAAAGUCGUGUUUUCAUAAUAAGAAGGAUUUCAAUAAGUUUCUGACAUGGAACAUGACACGAAUAUAGGUAAAGCUCAGUUUUCGGAAUGUUCACAUAUCGCGUUGCGUUUCUCAAAAAAUGUAACCUUGACGACUUCUGAUAUUUACAGAAGUGUUUAUUUAAUUAACAAUAUAUUUUUACAUUUUUGAAAUUUAAAAAAUGUCGAUAACUCACGACAAUUAAUGAUAAGAACAGAGUCAUAAGCGAUAUAUAAAAAAUGUAUAUUUUGCGCUAAUAAAUUUAAUUCUCAAGACUAUAUCUGUAUUAGAAGAAAUUUUUCAUUCUGUGUGCAAAAAGUACAAAAUAUUAAUUUUAUGUGUAUGAAUCU